CCUACGGGAGGCAGCAGUCGAGAAUCAUUCACAAUGGGGGAAACCCUGAUGGUGCGACGCCGCGUGGGGGAAUGAAGGUCUUCGGAUUGUAAACCCCUGUCAUGUGGGAGCAAAUUAAAAAGAUAGUACCACAAGAGGAAGAGACGGCUAACUCUGUGCCAGCAGCCGCGGUAAUACAGAGGUCUCAAGCGUUGUUCGGAAUCACGGGGCGUAAAGCGUGCGUAGGCUGUUUCGUAAGUCGGGUGUGAAAGGCGGGGGCUCAACCCGCGGACGGCACAUGAUACUGCGAGACUAGAGUAAUGGAGGGGGAACCGGAAUUCUCGGUGUAGCAGUGAAAUGCGUAGAUAUCGAGAGGAACACUCGUGGCGAAGGCGGGUUCCUGGACAUUAACGGACGCUGAGGCACGAAGGCCAGGGGAGCGAAAGGGAUUAGAUACCCCUGUAGUC
rnacentral:rRNA from 1 species